UACGAAGGGGCUAGCGUUGCUCGGAAUCACUGGGCGUAAAGCGCACGUAGGCGGACUCUUAAGUCGGGGGUGAAAUCCUGGAGCUCAACUCCAGAACUGCCUUCGAUACUGAGAGUCUUGAGUCCGGGAGAGGUGAGUGGAACUGCGAGUGUAGAGGUGAAAUUCGUAGAUAUUCGCAAGAACACCAGUGCGAAGGCGGCUCAGCCUGCCGUACCGACAGCCGUACGAGGUGAGUGAA
rnacentral:rRNA from 1 species